GGAUGGACAGACAGACACAGAAUAUCUCAUUAGUCCAGGCAGGUCCCCUGGGGCAGCUGCCCACCCGUGCCCCGGGGAUGAUGUCUCAGUUUACCCAGAGUUCCAGCCCCAGGCUGCUGGGUGACCGCGGGUAAGUUGUUUAUCUCUCCCUUCAUGUCCCCCUACUCAGUUCUCACUCAGGAGAGGCACAGAGAUGCUGAUUGUCCCCACUGUACCCCCGCAAUCUUUGGGGACCUCUGAGCCAGUCAGCCCCUAUGAUUGUGUCCAGGCCUGAGGGCCCGAGAUCCCAAGUUUUCUUGGAGGGAAGAAGUGGCCAAAGGGUGGCUCCAGUGUGGGUCAGGCAGAGGAGCCGUCUUUUCCAUGGCCCUGCCACUGUAACCUCUAGGUGUCUGUUCCCAUCUCCCCUCCCAUUGUCUUGGGCUCCUCCUCAGCAACUCUGGAGCUCCAAGUCACAAAAAUGCCUAAUUCCCACCAGCUGACUGACAGCCCAGCCCUUGGUUAACUUUCCAUCCCUAAAGAGAGAGGAAUGCGGCCAUCCGUGACAUUUUUGGGACAUGGAUCUCUGCCCCACCUCACAUCACCUCUGAUAGCACCGCUCAGCCGGGGAGCCAGAACCGCACCCCCACUGCACCCUAGAGAGUAUUGCAAGCAGAGAUGGCAAGUCCAAGCGUGCACAGGCAGAGGCUUGCAGGAAACUGACCCCUGGCCGCUUAUCUGGUGUUCCGGCUCUCAAGCACAAAGCCAGGCAUGGGCUCUGCAUCCCCACCCAUUGAGGGGAGCCAGGACAGAAAGAAGCCCACAAGUAACCCAGGUGUAUUUGUCUGUUCUCAUGCUGCUAAUAAACACAUACCCGAGACUGGGUAAUUUAUAAA
rnacentral:lncRNA from 1 species